UACGGAGGGUGCAAGCGUUAAUCGGAAUUACUGGGCGUAAAGGGUGCGUAGGUGGUUUGAUAAGUCAUGUGUAGAAGCCCCGGGCUCAACCUGGGAAUGUCAUGUGAUACUGUUGGACUUGAGUACGGGAGAGGGCAGUGGAAUUUCCGGUGUAGCGGUGAAAUGCGUAGAUAUCGGAAGGAACACCGGUGGCGAAGGCGGCUGCCUGGCCUGAUACUGACACUGAGGCACGAAAGCGUGGGGAGCAAACAGG
rnacentral:rRNA from 1 species